GACGAACGCUGGCGGCGUGCCUAAUACAUGCAAGUUGAGCGCUGAAGGUUGGUACUUGUACCAACUGGAUGAGCAGCGAACGGGUGAGUAACGCGUGGGGAAUCUGCCUUUGAGCGGGGGACAACAUUUGGAAACGAAUGCUAAUACCGCAUAAAAACUUUAAACACAAGUUUUAAGUUUGAAAGAUGCAAUUGCAUCACUCAAAGAUGAUCCCGCGUUGUAUUAGCUAGUUGGUGAGGUAAAGGCUCACCAAGGCGAUGAUACAUAGCCGACCUGAGAGGGUGAUCGGCCCACUUGGGACUGAGACACGGCCCCAACUCCUACGGGAGGCAGCAGUAGGGAAUCUUCGGCAAUGGACGAAAGUCUGACCGCGCAACGCCGCGGUAGUGAAGAAGGGUUUCGGAUCGUAAAACUCUGUUGGUAGAGAAGAACGUUGGUGAGAGUGGAAAGCUCAUCAAGUGACGGUAACUACACAGAAAGGGACGGCUAACUACGUG
rnacentral:rRNA from 1 species